rnacentral:rRNA from 1 species
GCCUGUUUAUCAAAAACAUGGUUUUUAGAUUAUAAUUUAAGAUUUAACCUGCCCAAUGAAUAUUAAAUGGCCGCGGUAUUUUGACCGUGCAAAGGUAGCAUAAUAAUUAGUUCCUUAAUUAGGAGCUGGAAUGAAUGGUUGGACAAGAAAGUAGCUGUCUCUAUUAAAAUUAUAGAAUUUUAUUUUUAAGUUAAAGAGCUUAAAUGUUAUUAAAAGACGAGAAGACCCUAUAGAGUUUUAUUUUUAAAAAAAAAAAUUAUUUUUUGUAUUAGUAAUUUUAUUAUUUUUGAAUUAAUUUUGUUGGGGUGAUAGAAAAAUUUAGAUAACUUUUUUUAAAAAAAAUCAUUAAUUUAUGAUUAUUUGAUCCAUUUUUAUGAUUAUAAGAACAAAUUACCUUAGGGAUAACAGCGUUAUCAAAAUUGAGAGUUCUUAUCAAAAUUUUGGAUUGCGACCUCGAUGUUGGAUUAAAAUUUAUAUUAGGUGAAGAAGCUUAAUUAUUAGGUCUGUUCGACCUUUAAAAUUUUACAUGAUCUGAGUUCAGACCGG